GGAAGGACUCCCUCUGCAUGGAUGGAGCAGGGCAAGGAGCUUGGGAUACAUCGAGCAACAGCAGCUGGGACAGUAAUGGCAAUUCUGCAGCAAACCUGGGAUGGCCAAAAGGUGCAAGGCUGAGCUCCCUGAGCAUCACUACAGGAAGCAUCCACACCAGGGCAGGACAGAGGCACGGCCCCCAGACAGACAUGAAAGAGGGGAGCAGGGAAGGAGGGCAAAGGUGUUUGGGGUCAGGGAACUUAUCUGAAAAGGGACAGUCUGCACAGACCAAGGAAUCCGGAAGAGGAACUUUUGGGAGUGGAUUUUCUUGAUGAUAGGAGCCAGAUCAGGUGGCAGCACCCAGAGCUGCCAGGAGAGCUCCAAAGCUGAUAUCCUUCAUAAAGACACACCAGCAGAGCAAGUCCCUGGGGAGCUUUCAAUAAGCGUUGUUUUUAUCCCACUGCAUCUUCUGCCACCUGAAGCCCUCAUCCUGCCUGAGGCCUCGGAAAGCGUGGUGCUGCAGUGGCACAGCUGCCCAGGGAGGGGGUGCAGUCACUGUCCCUGGAGGUGUUUAAGGACCAUGAAGAUAUGGCACUGCGGGACAUGGUCAGUAGGCACGGUGGGAUGGGUUGGGUUAGAGGUCAUUUCCAGCCUUAAUGAUUCCAUGAAAAAGGAAUGAACAACACACAGCACCAGUGACAUACACUGCAAAAAUAAAGCUGGUUCAGGGAGUGAGGAGACUGAGAGCAAAGCAGCUCUGCCCAGGCAAAUGUCCUGAAACCUCAGGGAAGACAAUGGUUCUGGUUUUGCCAUCAUUUUCUUCCUCUGUGAUUGAUUCAUAAGAAGUCUUCACAUCCCCGAUGCACACUGAUAAAGAAUAGUGGGCAGCAGAACUCCAGAGCCUCGUAGAUGUGAACUGAUGCAGUGGUGGUGAUUCAAUGGGAGCCGAUGUGUUUUUAUGCAAGAUGCCACUGCCAAUAUCAUGGGAAAGAUUUCAGCAGAUGCAGAGCUGGGAACUGCAACUUCAGCAUGCAAACCCUGCAUACUUGUGAGGAACAAGAGAACAAGUGGCCCCAGAAUAGAAAUGAACGCCCAUUUCAUUAGCUCAUAAUUCCCAGUGUUUAUUUAAGCAUCGAUUCUUGGGGCGGUUGUGCAUGUAUAGAGCUGAUUAGCAGUUACAGAAUGUACCAGAGCAUCACCACAGCACAACUGGGGACUGCAGAGCCAACUGGGUGAUGCCACGUGAACCUCAGGGCAACGUCUUUGUGAUGACUUUUAAUAGGAAACCACUUGACUGGGUAACUUUGAAGGAAGAAAACAUCUUUCUAAAGUCUGUUAGCCCAGCACUCUCCAGCUGCCUGCUGGAGCAACUGCCUGAGCUGCACCCAGGAGAUGUCUUCUUGCUCUCCUUCUGGCAUAGGGAUGUAUUUCCUUAAAGCCCAACCUCCUCACAGCAGCAGGAGCCUUACAACUUAACACUGAUCCCUGUAAUCUUUUACAUGGCUGAUGAGAAGAAACAGUCUCCAUCCAUCCAUAACGCGUGUCUCCCAGGGACAUUUCUUAUGCCCUUCUACCCCUCUUAUGCCAGCUUGGCCAAUUCUGGUCCCGAGCUCCACACAUUUAUCCUAAAUGCUGAUGAAGGCUCGUCCUGGUUAAUCACACCCACUGGGAGGUGGAGGUCCCAAAUUGAACAAGAUGAGGGUAUCAGAGCGCAAUGCAAGAGGGGCUUUCCUCCCCCAGCACUGCUUUCUGCAGCCAUCUCACUGCCAGUGCACCAGCCAGUUGUGUGUAUUCUAUUGGCUCCCCUGAAGGAAUUCUGAUCAGCUUAAAAUACAACACAGCUCUCUUGGUUUGAACCCUGCUCUAUUAUUAACUUGGCUGAAGAAGAGGAAAACCUUAUGCGCUCACCCAGGGCUUGCUUUCUGUAUUCUCCAUCUUCCUCUGGGACAUCAGGUGCCACUGUCGGAGACCUUGGCUUCAACACAGUAGAGGUGUCAAGUCCUCCUCUCCUACAAGCUGUCUCCUCCUUGUUCAGGGAGGACCCUGGGCAGCAGCACUGGAGUGCUUCCUACCUCCCAUUGGGCAGAAAUUCAGAGGGUGAGAGCCCAUGCCAUGGAGAUUUGUGUGCUCGGAGCUCUCAGACGUUUGGUGAGUCCUCCUGGCUUAUCACCUCCUGCUGCUGGCUACGAUAAUUCUAUGUACGGGACAUGGGCAUUUCCAGAAAGUCCUAUAAAAUAACAGUCUCAUCACGGUUCAUUCCUUCAGUGCUGUUUCUCUUGGGCCCACAUGCACUGAUAGGGUAUUCACGUGGGGGUAACCCGGGGUCCAGCGCCCUGCUGCUGCCCAACACGCCGAGCUUCCUCCCUCUGAUCUGAGCAGGCAGCAGCAAUGAGAAAAUUAGGUAGGUUUAAUUAAUCAGAAAAAGGAAAAAAAAAGAUAAAUAAAAGUAGCAUCUCUCGGGAAGGAGAGAAGAAGGAAUUUACACUGUUGGUUACAGAGCUGCUGCUGGGAGCUGAGGGAUGUUUGUGACAGCAGGAAGAUGGGAAGGAAUACCUGAGAAGAAAGGCUUGCAGAGGGGAUGGGACAUGGAGAUGUAACACUGAACAGAGUAUGUAAGUAAAACACCUACCCCUGCAGGAACCCAGGCUGCUAAUUGCAUUGACGAUCCAUUUGAUCUUACAUACACAUCUCCUGGCUGAUUCAUGCUGGGAUGUACUUCUGAUCUUUUGAAUACUCAACUUUUUGGUGAGAGGUAAAAGGGGAGCCGUUUUCUUUCAGCAGACUGAGUAAUAAAGUAAUGCUGUAGCACUCCUCAUUUUCUUCAUCACGGUGAGUCAGUAUCUGACUAAUGAACGCAGUCAAUAGCUGAGUAAUUUAACCUGGUGAGAGCACGACCCUGCCACAGCAAGGCCAUCUCCUGCAAACACUAGUGUUAGGCACUAAGAGGUAAACAGAGAUUCUGCCAGGCUGAAGGGAUUACUUUGCACAGCAGCAAUUCAUCAGCCACAGCUUUUCCCAGGGUUUUCUGCAUGGCUUUUCUCCCGGAGCAGCAAAGCUCUGGUGUGGGGACUUCGGCCCAGCUGCAGAAAAGUGUCCCUUUGGAGAGCUGGCUGCUGGUUGGGGUGGGCUGUCACAUCCAAAAAGCAUCUCACCCCCAUUUCCACAGGUGUAAACCCAGCAUCACUCCACGCCUACAGUGCCGAGGCAUAACCGGGCCCUCCAGUAGUCCUCAGAGCAACGCUUUUUCCUGGAAACCUCCCCUGCAACCUCACUUAACCCUUCUCAGGGUGGUAUUAUCAGACAGCAGAAAAAGGAAGCUGACUCACGGGGCCUGCACUGCACCCGAAUUUAUCUGCAGGCUUGCUAGCAGGGAAUGCAGGUUCACGUCAGGGCUGUUUUUCCAUCCCCUUUUGGGGGUUAAUCUCUCCAGGGCAGCACCUGCUGAAGGAGUCCGUGGCUCCGUCCUGCUGCAGGCAGAUGUCUGUCUGAUGACAGAAGUGCCCUUCAUGCCUGCCCGUGUGCUCCAUCCCAUGCUGACCCGGCCCUGCUGUGCACAACGCAGGUGGAGACACGGAGCUGGUGCACACACGUGGAGGGGACACCCGAAGCCCUGCACGUGAACGAAGCUCCAGCUUCACCUAUACAGACGUCUCCUCCAUUCCUUUGCCCUCUCCACAGUUUCAAAGAUGAAGUGAGGAGAAACAAUAGGAGGGAUGAGUGGGAGAUUCCCUUCCAGCUCUGGAUGUAAAGUGUUGAAAAGUAUCAUUUCCCCACUCAAGUACAGGGAUGAGUUUCAGCUGCAGAUACACCUCUGUGUUAGUGAGUGCUGCAGCUUUUAGCAAUACAAAGCACUCCUGCUGAUACAACAGGAUUUGUAAGCAGGGGAAUCAUUUACUGCACCAGGAGCAGAGCUCCGGAUCGUUCAGCUCCCAUUAAGCAAAUCACAUCAAAACAGGUGAUCAGUCCCCGCAAUGGGGACUCACUGAGGGCUCCUCCACAGCAGACAGAGCAGAGCCCUCUGAGCAGAAGCACCAGGAGGAACUCAGCCUUGAAGCAGCACUUCCAUCUCUUACAGCUCCGACCAUUCUAGCUAAGCAACAUCAGAAGCAAGCACAGGCUCUGCCAGAGCCCUUUACACCUUUAUGCCUUCCCACCAGCCCUGCCAGCAGCCACUCAGCACAGAUGGAUCUUUAAAUUCUCUGCAGCUGGGCCUGCCCCGUAGCUCUGGGUUUGUGGGUAUAGCAUGCAGGAAAUUGGACAGCUGGGGUUUUUAAUGAGUGGGUCAGCACGUUAGUGAAGGUGCUAAGAGGAGGUUUCUUUCAAGGGGGUGUACUGUGUAAUCCAGCUCAGAGGAUAAGGCUUUAGGGCAGAACUGCUGGAGGUGUAGAGAGAAGCUGCUCUAAGAAGGCAGGGCUUGCUUUUGUUUCGUGUACAUCCCAAACAACUGAAUUCUGUGCUGGCACCAGUGAAGAGCAUGAGUUUUUCUUGCCCUGGAUCUGAACUGGUGAGCAGUAUGGGAUCUCCCUUCAGCAAUGGGCUCCUCAUCAGGAGCCAGGAGCAGCUGCUGGGUGUUCUGGCUGCCUGCUCAUCUGCAGGUGUCUGUAAGGAGAGCUGGGAACCAGGCUGAGCACACCGUGCUAGGUGUGGGGCUGAGCCUGCUGGAAGGCAGGGCUCUGUCAGUCAGCAACUGAGUCUUGGCUGCAUGAAUGACCACAGUCUGAAGCUCUCUAUCUGCAACUACUUGUGAUUUUGAACAUCUCUCCAUGACAUAUAAAGCUCUGCUGAGUGUUUUUCCCGUAUCCCCUCUGAGAAAAGAAAGAACAGGAUGAGGCUGAAGUGCCUUUGGUUCUGUGAUGGCCAGGAGGAGCACUUACCUCCUAAGCUCCUCAAUGAGGAGCUGGCUGUGUGACAGAGACUUUCCCUGCCCUGGAAAGCAGGGUUUGCAGAGAGAAACAUUCAGUGAUGAAGCCUUUGAAGAGGGUUUGUUCCACAUGCAAGUCACAGCAGGAACAUUCCUGAGGCGGUGGGAUUCCUCCUGCUUUUGCAUAUAGAGCACUUAACAUGUUUAUUUUGUCUCCUGUAUUAAAACACUCUGUCCCUCCCUUAUUUAUCUUCUCCCCCAGGCUGUUCUGGAUCAAGCCAAGUGUGCUCUGGCUGCAGGCUCUAUUACCACAGCCCUGCAGGGACAGGCUGUGCUGGAGCCCAAAUGGCCAUGCGGAUGUGCCUGAGGUCAGCUCAGGUCAUGCUGAGGGGGAACUGAAGCCUGUGGCAGCGGUUAGAAAGAGAAAACAUGAGGUAUUUGUAGAAAUAGCCCUCAAUGAAGAGCAAGCCUGGUUGCCCCCAUCUGUAUCCUGGUGUCAUGGUCAGAGCUGGAGCCGGCAGUGACAAGGGGGCUCAGAAAGUCACUUUCUCAUCCAGACUUCUCACUGGAAAACCAGACUUUCCAUGUGCACUGCUCCAGCAGACCUCAUCUGAUACGCCGUGAGCUCAGCAUGCAGGGGAGGGAGGCCUCUGGUUCCUGAAAUAGCCCUGACAGGUGCCCUUAAUAUCCUGGCUCCAGCAUGACAGCGCUGAACAGGGCCUCCAAGGAGCCUGAAAUGGAUUUCGAGUCAUUGAGUCUAAGCAGAUGUAACCCCAGACCUCUGGGUCACUUCUAUUUAUCCAUCUCCUAUCAGGCGUGGGGAGUUGGGCACAAACACACACAUGCCCAUGGGUACAUAGCUCUGCUGCUGCUAUGGGUAGCGCUGGGGCUGCUGUGCGCUCUGUCCUCAGCCCAAGUGGCACUGCACAGCACCCUCCCCAGUGGGCAGCACAGGGCUCCUGGUGGGCUGUCCUCUGCUGCUGCUUCGUGGCUGUGCUUUGCCAGGACACUGACUUCUCACUGGAACUUUGAUUUCCCUUCCUUUCAAACUGCUACUAACAAGUGCUAGCUCGAUGGUUUCACUGCCAUGUCCUCUCCUUGUUUUUCUUCUCUUACAAUGUGUGAUUGAGCCUUGUUUUCUCACUCAGACAAGCAGAAAAAUAAAUGCAAUGACAGCUCUUUUUGCAGUGAAACUCUCCCAUAGCACUUCCCCAGGGGUGUGCAGCAAUUGCAUCAUGGUGCAUGGAGCUUAUUCCUCCUUCAGAUCCAAUUCCGUGCAUUGCCAAUGGAGGAUGGCAUUUGGAUGGACGGUGGAAACACAAAGGCAUGGAACGUUCUCCAGGACUGGCAUCAGAUGUUGUGGUUGUUUGUCUCAGCUGACAAAAGCUGGGACACAAAUGUCAACGUCUCUUUUCUAACGAUCCUGAAAAAUACAGAGGGCUUUGGGUACCGCUGACCCCAGCACUGCUGAUUUGCUGAGCCCGGAGGGGUGUGGGCAUGGACUUGUUGUAGGGUGGCAGCACCCAGAGCUGGUACCCCUACACCCAAUGUCCCUGCACUGCGGGUGGCUGGCGGGGGGUGGACUGAGGUGGCAGUGGGUGUUGCAACACAGCAUCCAUCUGAUUCAGCAACGCAAUGUGAAUCCUUUAGAAGGAAGCUUUUAAUAAAAGGCAAGAGGGUAAUUCUUCAUUUGCAAAAUGACACGAUGUUCCACAAAGACAAGGGGGGAAGCAAAAUAACGGAAAACAACACACCCAACCUCAAAACAGUAAAUCCAAUCAAGCUUUCUUGUUAAAUGCAAGCUUUGAAGAACAUUGUAUUUAAUCAUUAACAGUGCUGGAUCGAUACGAAUAAUCUGAAGUGACUCUGAGCAGCAGGGGCAGGUCAUCUUUACAAAGAGAUGAAUAUUGAUGUGGUUGCUCUGAGUGCUGCACAGCCCCAUGGCACGGUGGCAGAGGACCCAGAGCCACUGGGGCAGAGCCUGCGAGCCAAAUGCAUGGGGAAUAUGCACUGAAUGUACAUAGCAGGCUGUUCUCUGCUGUAUGAAGACCCAGGCUGUGCUGUGGUGCAGGAGACCCCAAGGAUGGGCUGGUUCCCAUUCCUCUUCCUGCUGCUGAUGGAGGCGUUGCCCGCACACCACCAUCCAGGACCAAGUGGUGCACUCUCUCUCCAGCUAACUUUCCAUUACAAAAUGUAAGACCUGGGGCAUCAGGCUGAUGCUGUCUGCCUUGAAUCACUGUAGGCAGAGCAGGGGUGGGCGGUUACUCCUCUUUGAUUCACAGGAUCCUUCAGCAGGUGACUGCUGAAGUUGUAGCUCCGUUUGCUGUCCUGUUUCUCCUUUUUUUUUUGUCCUGGCCAUUUGACAGCAGACAUUCAUUAGAACAGUUUGUAUUUGGACAUGUUGAGAGGCCUGUUGCCUUUGGCUCUGAAUUGCCAAUGUUUUUUGUGUGUUUUUUUUUAACAAAUUCUCAUGAAUUUCCCUGGAUGGAGAUGAACACAGGCGCUGGAGGAGGGGGGAAGGCUUCCAGUUUCUGGGAGCGCUUUGCACAGAACUCAAUUAAGCAGGUGGCGGUGUUCGGUUAAUAACAGGUUUCGUCAGAAUUCAGCCAAUUAAUCUCAAAGGAAAAUGAGCCAUUUUGCAAUGCAGCCGCUCCAACACCCUUCUCCACUCAGCUCUUCUGCUGCUCUGCUGUGCCCCAUGGCUUGGACAUCUGACACUGGGGGUGCUCACGGGGAUGGCGGGGCCCGAAACACUGCUGUCACCAACCUGCAGGCUGCCACCUCCUUGCCCAGUGUGCAGGAGGCUGCUCUCCUUUCAAGGCUCUCAUGGCCUUCCAAGAGCUUUCCCUUUGAUUCCCUUUCCUCUGCGCAGUUCCUUCCCCUCAAUAAAGAAAAAAAAAUAGAGAGAGGAAAACCAACCCAUGUUGACUGAUGAAGAGAAAAAAAUGAAAGGAAAAAAAACCCACUCUUCAUUAACUUGUGGAUAUAUGAAGAAUAUAACAAACAAAACAUGCUGGUCUCUUCUGGAGGAUUGAAAUGGGCUCACUUUCUGUGCUGGUUUAUGGUAUUUCCAUCGUUUUCAACACAUUUUACUGCUGCCGUCCAAAUUAACCAACGUGUUCCAGCGUGAGAAGUCACGUUGGGAUUCAAAGAGCACUUCCUGCUAUUUGUCUUUGAAAGUGGUAUCGGAAAUGACACGGAAAGUUCCUUUGGAGAAAUCGUUGACAUAAAGGGGUUGGUGGCUCGGAGCCGGUGAUCUCAUCGUACGUCUGUUGUGAAAAUAGAGCAUUUUGAUGGCUCUCCUCCAAUUUGCAGUACUUAAGAGCAGUAUCGAUCUGAGAGGACAAGAAGUAAGGAGUGUAAAUGGUAAUCGGGAGCUAUUUGGGAUGAAGCUUUUCUCGCUCUCUGAUCCCACGGCUGAGGACAGAAAGAGAAUGCAGCAAUCAAAGCGUGCGCCUCUGUAACAGCUUACGGGUUUAUAACGUAGAAGAAGUAACAAAAGGAGAACGUUUACAAACUGCAUUUUGCUGAUUGCUGAGGGAGGCUGGAAGGCUCACGUCACUGCAGCAACAGGAGGUCCAAUGCAUCCCAUACACCGAAGCCCGUAGCACUGCAGUCAGCAACACGUGAGUCCCUCUGCAGAGCAGCUCAUCCCUGAGAUAUAGGCAGUGGGUGUCCACUCCACGCUGUCCUGCAGCACAGUGCAGAGAAAAUGCUACCUGCAAACAGAACUGGAAACGAGCCAUGUCUGCCUCACCUGCAUGUGGCACCUGCACAGAGGCUGGUGAGGUUGGUGAGAAACGGGGCACGGGAAAUUGUACUCGCUGGUUAAAUAAAUGGCUGUUUUUGUGCUCAGCUCCUGCUCGUUGUCCGCGUCCUCGCAGGGAAAUGAAGAGCUGUGCUUAUACCAAAUGGGGUUACUGAAGUAUCAGAAAGCAUAAAAUCCAUCUGCAAAUGAAAUUAUCUGGUACCCCAGGAAUCAAAACUGACGAACAGAGAGAUCUGCUGCUAAAUGAAUUGCAAGCUAAGAUAAAAGGCAGUGCAGACCAUACAAUUAGCCAUGUACGAUACACUCCCUCGACUCGGGAGCUGCUCCCAGCCCAUCGGCGCGCUGCUCCACUUCAGAACUAAAUAAGCAGGAGAGGGGUUUUGAAAUCAAUAUUGUAGCAUGAGCAGAAAAGCAAAUUGCAGAAGGCGUGUUGCACUGGGAGCUUUUUCCUGCCUUCAUACAUUGCCCUGCAUCCCCUGUGGGUGUACACCCUGCCCCAGGCUGCAGGAGGACAGAGCUGGUGCCCAAAGCUCCCGAGGAGAAACAUGCAAGGGACCAAAGCCCAUUCCCAGGGAGGCUCUAUAUGAGGACGUGACCCCUGUGAGGAUGCAGCAGCCCCUCAGCAGAGCCCACCCAGUGCCAGGAUGGCGUGGCUGUGUCUUCUCUCGGAUCGCGUGUGCGUUGUUCAGGAGAACCAUUUCUGGCUGCAGAAGGUUGCCUAAGCUGAUAACCAAAGGAAUGAAAAGAUGGAGGGAUUAGGAAGUGCAGCGAGAUAAACUCAGGCUAUAAGCAAGGUGCUGAUAAUAAAAACUGAGCAAGCUUGCUACGAAUGCAGGUGUGCUUCUUACCAUUAUGAAGCCAAGCCUGGCUGUCACUGCAGGGCAAACUUGCUGCCCUUACACACCCGGUGCAUGAAACACAUGGGGGAGUGUGGGCAGGAGGCUGUGUAGCCAUUGGGACAGCAUCUUCCAGCCUUCAAGUCCAUUAACCUCUGGCUUUCACCUCCCUCUCCAAUAGGAAUAGUGAUUUUUGUCUGAGGAACGUGUUCUUUGAAAAAUAAGGUCCCACUGGGGCACAGCUGGGUCCACAGACAGCACAGACCAGGCAGUGCAGGCCAUGUGUCAGGCCGUGCUCAUCCUGACUGGAACAAGCUGCCCAACGUGGGCUCUCACAACGGGCAGCACCUUGGGCUUCACUCCAUGAGCUCAUUUGACAUUUUCACACAUUCUGUAGCGCUGCUCUGACUGGUGCCACUCGCUCUUCUGUCAUCUAAUUAACUAACGAGACACACGAUGAAGCCAUGACAUGCACAAGGAAUGACAGGGCCACCGAGUGCUGCAGUGUGACGUUCCCUACGGCGCCCAGCAGAGCAGCAGGAGCGGGGCAGGCUUGCAGAGAUAAGGCACUAAUGGAUGUUGAAGUACGGGCACUUCUCAGAGUGAAGAGAACCAGUGCCCCAAAUGAGACCCAAGGAGCUUUAACCCCGGGCACUUUGCUGCAGGAGGAAACUGCUGCUUCCACUGGGAGCCGGCCCUGGCUGGGCAGCAUGAUGGGGGCUUCCCAAAGUCAACACAGAGCCCUUGGAUCUGCAGUAGCUCCCUUGGAAUGUUUCAGUUUUGAGUUAAUAAAGCUGUUAUACCUAAAUCAAGUUAGAGGUAUCUGAUGUUACUCUAUUCGGUUUUCAUUGCCUUUUGUUUAGGAAACUAAAUACCAUGAUGCAUAAUAAUAAUUAAAGAUUGGCAGAUGAGCAGGAAAUCAAUCCACAUCUCCCGAGCAGAUAUUAACUCCCAUUCAUUUUUUUGCUUGUUUGCUCCUUUUUACAAACAUGCAGCCACACUGCCUUACCUACACUGAAUUAGCAGAGCUCACCAACAGAUGCCCUCACUGAUGGAGCACGGCUGGGGCUGCUCUCUGGAAGAGCUCCCAGCAUCCCCUGUGACCCCCCUGCAAAUGCAGUUUGCAGAACAGACUCUCCUCUCUUUCAGCAGCUCUCUCAGUACACAAAUGACACUUGCAGCUCUUACAGCCAGGGUGUAUAGCAUGCAUGAGAAAAUAAAAAAGCCUCUGCUCACCUGGGUUUGCAGGGGGCAGAUUAAAGAAACCCAAUCUGUUUUCUUUGAAAGAGGAGACAGGUGGGUAACUUGAUUACAGCCUACAAAUGCCAGCUCAGAAAAAGCUUUGUGAUGAUAAGAGGGGCUUCAGUGAGUAGCUGAAAACACAGGCAGAUCCAGAGCCUGGAAACUGAAAUGAGGCAACUUCAGAGUGGGAAGCAGGGUGAGUAAUUAAACAGCAGAAUGGCAUCCAUGGGGAUGAAGUGAUUCACCAGUAGUUCUAAUGGCAGGAUGGAUGUCUUUCCAAAAGGUGGCUGUGGCUGAAGCAGGAGCUUUGUGCCAAAGGAGGAACACAUGCAGUAUCCCAGGGGUGGUAACUGUAAGCCUUAACUUUGAUAAAAACAUGAAUAAUGAGAAAAAAUUGGGGAUUUCUAAAGGCACUGUGGGGAGCACAAUCACUUACACAAGGCUGGGCUGGGGGUGGUGGCAACAGCCUUCCAAAAAGCUGCUUUUCACUCUUUUGUCUGUCCCACAUCUCUGUGUGCCCAAACCCCCGAGCACACCUCCCAUCUCUCUCCACACGUUCCCCUACCGCUGAGCUCUCUGUCCCAUUGUCCUCUCCUUCUGUGCAGUUCAGGCCAUGCAACCCCAUGGACAAAGGCAGCGUGCAGGGAGUGGGUGUGCAGUGACUGUACCUCCCGUGUUCCGAAAUGCAUCCAGGAGAUCCUGCAGAGAUAAAAGGCAGAAGGGAAAGGGAACCGCAAAGAAAGGCCUGUGGGUGGUGCUGGGGGGAAACAUGACAACAGAAAAUGAUGUGCACACACAUCAGUGCCUGCACAGACAGCACGACAAGAUGAGUUGUUAACCUGAAGCCUGCAGAGCAGAAAAGCAAAGGAGGGAGCUAACCUGUCACAGCCAUGACUGAGGGGUUUGGGUUGUGCCCGCAGGUGGCACUGCAGGUGAUGCGCAUUUGCACAGAGAAAUGAAGGUCCAGGUGAGUUAAAGGCAUCUCUGUGCAGAUCAGCCUGCAGAGCCCAAAGGGAAGCCCACGGAGAUGUGGAGCCAGCAUACAGUCCUUCCUAUGGCGUUUCUUUCUCCACCAAACAGAGGUGGGGUCACAAACUCAGCAUGAGGUGUGAACAGAAGAGAGCUGCUGGUAGCAGCCAGGCUGCAGGACAGCAUCGUGUAUGUGACAUUCUGGGGCUGGGCACUGGAGCACCAUCCACCACAGCCCUUCAAGGAGGGGCAGGAGCAGAUUUGGGAUUGGAUAAAAGCACCGUGAGACAUCCAGUGAUCGCAGCUCCAUCCAAAGGACACCUGCUGGCUUCCAAAGGCAGCAGCCUUCCUGCCAACAGCAAAUGCAAGUUGCCAGAUGUCCAUUCAGAGACCACUUGGGUUUUUAAGUAUCUAAGAGACAUUCUUGCCUAAGUGUCUCUUUAUCUGUUCUGUGCUUCCCAAAUGAAACCACAACAGAUAGGCAAGAUCAAGAGAUUUCCAAUCUGAGAAGAGCACUGGAAGCACAGCGGCAAAUGGCAGCCAAAAAGUAGUUAUGAGUUCGUUUUCAAGGCAGGGUUGGAAAGAAGCUGAGGACAAACCACCCUAAACAACAGGGGGCCCUGCAGGGGCUCAUGGCUACUAAUUGAUCAUGAUGGCCGUUGUGGGGGGAGAAAUGCCCCCACUUCUUGAGAACUGCCAAGGAGAUUUGAGAGGAGAUGGUGUGGAUCCCAAAGUUCAGGUAGGAGUUCAGCAGAGUGCCAAAGGAAAACAGGGCUGGUAGAGAAGUGCCGCAUGUCAGGACAUGUCCUGCCACCCUCAGAGACUGGAGCUCCUGUAGUGCAAAAUACCUUGCA
ensembl:lncRNA